GACGAACGCUGGCGGCGUGCUUAACACAUGCAAGUCGAACGGAAAGGCCCUGCUUUUGUGGGGUGCUCGAGUGGCGAACGGGUGUGUAACACGUGAGUAACCUGCCCUUGACUUUGGGAUAACUUCAGGAAACUGGGGCUAAUACCGGAUAGGAGCUCCUGCUGCAUGGUGGGGGUUGGAAAGUUUCGGCGGUUGGGGAUGGACUCGCGGCUUAUCAGCUUGUUGGUGGGGUAGUGGCUUACCAAGGCUUUGACGGGUAGCCGGCCUGAGAGGGUGAACGGCCACAUUGGGACUGAGGUACGGCCCAGACUCCUACGGGAGGCAGCAGGGGGGAAUAUUGCACAAUGGGCGGAAGCCUGAUGCAGCAACGCCGCGUGCGGGAUGACGGCCUUCGGGUUGUAAACCGCUUUCGCCUGUGACGAAGCGUGAGUGACGGUAAUGGGUAAAGAAGCACCGGCUAACUACGUG
rnacentral:rRNA from 1 species